AUGCACCAUCUUGUCGUGGUCGACGCCGUCACAGCGCCCAUCACCACAUCGUCCUGCCGCACGCAGCAGCCACCUCUUGACGUGGACGGCGCCUUCGCAACGCCGAUCACCACGCCAUCAUCACCUCGCGGCAUCGCACCGAAACCGGCCAUCAGCGGUACCGCACCGCUGCCAGCCAUCACCUCGCACCGACGUCCUCCACCUCACAUGGAGUCCACCGCGUCACCACCGUCGCAGCCGUUGCCUCCGCCCAGCACCACAGCGGCCACCAUAGCCGCCGGCACCGUCGUCGCCGCCACGGAUCAACCUGGCUCUGAUGCCAAUUGUUGGCGCCGCCCUCUCGCAGCGCCACUUCUUCUACCUCGAGUUGCUGCCUCUCACAGCUCCCUCUCUCUUUCUCUGGUUGUUUCUCUCAAACACAAAAGAACACCCACGCACGCACACAUGCACCAAGGGAGAAACCAGCCGCUAGCUUUGCCAAGAGGCUCUCUCCUUGGUGAAAACAAACACUACAUUGUUUCUGCCCCAGCCCUCACGGCCUCUCACCAUUACUAA
rnacentral:rRNA from 1 species